AGACAAUUCUCCACGAGGUCAACUCAAACAAGCCAGCCUCCCUGUGGUCCCAAACCACGUGUGUAAUCCACUUUUAAAUGGACGAGUGAAAUCUACUGAACUUUGUGCUGGUCAUUUAACAGGGGGCGAGGAUACCUGUCAGGGCGAUAGUGGAGGACCUCUCGUUUGUCUUGAUAAUGAUAAAUAUAUUUUACAAGGUGUCACUUCUUGGGGUCUUGGCUGUGCCCUGCCCAAUAAACCUGGUGUUUAUGCUCGAGUAUCAAAGUAUGUUUCUUGGAUUGAAGAAAUAAUGAGAAAUAAUUAAUUGGAUAGAAGAAAUAGUGAAGUACUGACUCUUUAUGGAAAUCAGCACACAGUAGAAGAUAAAAUGUGCUCAGAAGUAAUUUACAGUAAUCAACUAAGACCUUGGGUGUUAUCAUUGGUUGUGAGUGAUACUAUCCCAAUGGCUGUUGCCAAGACAUUAAAUUGUUUGGGGGGGGGGAAUUGUGCAUGUGCACCAGCAUUCCAUCUUACUGAUGUUUGAUUCUGUAUUAAGACUCACUGUGGCAUUUAUUAAAAAAAUUAUAAAUUCUUUA